UUUUCUGCAAGAAAUUAGUUAUCUUAUUAUAUUAUAAAAUAUUUAUUAUCCAUCUGUGAUGUUUAUUUCUUGUGAAGAUAUCGAAGUUUCGGUGUGUAGCACUUAUCGAUAUAUAAUAUGAUCAAAAUCGACCCGUCCACAUCCCUAAAAAUCCACACAUACACAUUUUUACGCACAUAUACAAAGCAGUAUAACCACCAAAAUGGCUACGGCUUGAGUAUUCAAAUUUGUAUUGAGAAAAGGCAACUAUAUCCUGUCUUUAUUUGCCUCUCUAUCGCUCGAAUAUGCAAUACGCAUGCACUCUUCGUCAAAAUCGGUUUCAAACUUUUUCGACUGAGUACGCGCAAUAAACGCCUAGUAGUAGUUUUUAAAUGUUUACCGUAUUCAUUUAAAGCAUCGUAGGACAAUGCCGCUAUGUAAACUGUAAGGUGGGUCUUAAAUUAGUGUGAGUUAUUUUGGCACCGGACUCAACCUUCACGUCACAAUAUUUAAAGUAUUGCGCUGUCAUAGUAACGAAAAUGAUAAACACGUCAAUCGGAGUAAACAAGUAACUAAAUGAUGCAAACAAGAAAAUAUUGCAAAAUAGGUACAUAUAUAUGUACCGAUAAUUAUUUUGUGUUAAAAAUAUGAGGCAAAUUAUACUGCCCGAUUAUACGGACUACAUAUUAAAAACGAUUAUCUUGGAAACAGUCAAUAGAUGUCGAACCACCAGCAAAGUUUUUGAAGAGGUGUAGUUCCUGGUACCAACUGGAAACUGAAACUAAUAAUCUACACUCAAGAAAAUGAAAUAUAGUCACAGAAAACUUUAA